rnacentral:rRNA from 1 species
CAGUAGCCGCGGUAAUACAGAGGGUUCGAGCGUUAAUCGGAUUUACUGGUCGUAAAUCGUGCGUAGGCGGCUUUUUAAGUCGGAUGUGAAAUCCCUGAGCUUAACUUAGGAAUUGCAUUCGAUACUGGGAAGCUAGAGUGUGGGAGAGGAUGGUAGAAUUCCAGGUGUAGCGGUGAAAUGCGUAGAGAUCUGGAGGAAUACCGAUGGCGAAGGCAGCCAUCUGGCCUAACACUGACGCUGAGGUACGAAAGCAUGGGGAGCAAACAGGAUUAGAUACCCCAGUAGUCCCUGUCUCUUAUAA